GGGGGAAUAUUGGACAAUGGGCGAAAGCCUGAUCCAGCCAUGCCGCGUGGGUGAAGAAGGUCUUCGGAUUGUAAAGCACUUUAAGUUGGGAGGAAGGGCAGUAAGCGAAUACCUUGCUGUUUUGACGUUACCGACAGAAUAAGCACCGGCUAACUCUGUGCCAGCAGCCGCGGUAAUACAGAGGGUGCAAGCGUUAAUCGGAAUUACUGGGCGUAACGCGCGCGUAGGUGGUUCGUUAAGUUGAAUGUGAAAGCCCCGGGCUCAACCUGGGAACUGCAUCCAAAACUGGCGAGCUAGAGUAGGGCAGAGGGUGGUGGAAUUUCCUGUGUAGCGGUGAAAUGCGUAGAUAUAGGAAGGAACACCAGUGGCGAAGGCGACCACCUGGGCUCAUACUGACACUGAGGUGCGAAAGCGUGGGGAGCAAACAGG
rnacentral:rRNA from 1 species